UACAGAGGUCUCAAGCGUUGUUCGGAUUCAUUGGGCGUAAAGGGUGUGUAGGUGGCGCGCUAAGUCGGGUGUGAAAUCUCGGGGCUCAACCCCGAAACUGCACUUGAUACUGCGGUGCUCGAGUACUGGAGAGGAGAUUGGAAUUUACGGUGUAGCAGUGAAAUGCGUAGAUAUCGUAAGGAAGACCAGUGGCGAAGGCGAAUCUCUGGACAGUUACUGACACUGAGGCACGAAGGCCAGGGGAGCAAACGGG
rnacentral:rRNA from 1 species